rnacentral:tRNA from 1 species
ACUUAUUUAAUAUAUUCGUAUAUUUGACUUCCAAUCAAAAAGUCUCCCUGGAGAGUAAGUA